CUUCUACUCCCUCCGUCCCAUUUAAGUGACUCAAAUUUGUUCAAAUAUGCAUGUAUUUAUGCCUAAAAAACGUCUAGAUACAUGUAAUAGAAAAUCAUUUAAUAUGGGACGGAGGGAGUAUUUU
rfam:Brachypodium distachyon strain Bd21 chromosome 5, whole genome shotgun sequence.